rnacentral:lncRNA from 1 species
CAGCAAAAGUUAGCAUCGCUCCCUAGCAGUCAGUGAGGGCAACUGACCACCAACUGAACUGGCCGCUGCAGCGACGUCAUGGGCGAGAAGGGUCGGACAAAAUGCCACCGGUCAAUAUCGCCAACACGCCGGGCGGCAGUCAAUGUUCCAGUGGCGUCCAGUACUCCAGUGGCCGCUGGCUCCAUGCCCGGCAAUAAACGGAGAGCAUCCGCGUCGCUUCUUCAGACGUGUUUGAUACUAGAUGCUAAACUUUAGCAGUGUCACAUCAUAUGUUCAGAUGCUAAUUAGGAGGAUUAAAGAUGAGCUACUUAUAAAACUAAUUGCACC